rfam:Ailuropoda melanoleuca scaffold360_34, whole genome shotgun sequence.
GCCUGGGUGGCACAGUGGUUGAGCGUCUGCCUUCGGCUCAGGGCGUGAUCCCUGUGUUGUGGGAUCGAGCCCCACAUCAGGCU